AGCCGAAACACCCGCAAGGGUGUCUGCCGAGGAUUGACCACCACGGCACUGAUGAUGGCAGGUCACA
rnacentral:hammerhead_ribozyme from 2 species